rnacentral:lncRNA from 1 species
GGCUUCUCAAUGCCGCCAAGCGGCUCGCACAGUCACCUCCCCUCCGCAGGGCGAGACACAGCCAUGAGGUUGUCUGUCUGUUGAGCUGAGAGUCAGUCACAGAAAAGCCAGAAAGUGGGGAGGAGGGAGGGUGCCGCUGAAUAUAAACCCCUUCGUUUAUAGAUACGGAACCUGAGGCCCAGAGAGGAGAAGAGACCUGCCCAAGGAUACACAGCGGACUAGAGGCAGAGGAAUGGCUGUUCAGCAGAGGUCACGCACUCAGGACAGGAAGAGGAGGUACAGGAGGGACCAGGACUGCUCGCUGCAGAGGCCAGCCACCCACAGGGCGGGGGGCGUCUGUCCGUACGCUGGAGAAGGACUGGAUGGCAGGGUUGAGCCAGCCUGGAUGCACAAGUGAACACAUGCACUAAAGAGGAGCGUGUGGACUGGUGGGCCAGUAAAUCUGCAUCUGUCUCAAUGGGGGCAUGGAUCCUGACUGGACGGUGGAGUGAACAAGAGAACGAGAAGGAAUGACCCUGAGGACAGAAGAGAGAGGGAAGCCUGCGGGACAAGCUGGAGGUCUCCCCCGCUGUCUCAUUCAGUCUGUGCUACUGCCCUGUGGGAGAGCUCCAUCCUCAACCUCGCCUCAUCCCCGAGGGAGCUGUCCUCACACUUCACAAUGACCUGUGCUCACUGAUGGUUUCUCUGCUGGACUGAAGCACUAUGAAGGUGGAACCUUGGCUCUCUU